rnacentral:rRNA from 1 species
UACGUAGGGGGCAAGCGUUGUCCGGAAUCAUUGGGCGUAAAGAGCGCGUAGGCGGUCCGGUAAGUCCGCUGUGAAAGUCAAGGGCUCAACCCUUGAAUGCCGGUGGAUACUGUCGGGCUAGAGUCCGGAAGAGGCGAGUGGAAUUCCUGGUGUAGCGGUGAAAUGCGCAGAUAUCAGGAGGAACACCAAUGGCGAAGGCAGCACUCUGGGACGUGACUGACGCUGAGACGCGAAAGCGUGGGGAGCAAACAGG